AGAUUAUCUCCGGAAAAUUAUAGUGCAGAGUCGAUCCUCCAAGUCAACCAAAGUUGGAGAUAUCAUGACCGAAGAGAACAAGCUGAUCACGGUGAAACCUGAAACCUGAGUCCUGGAAGCAAUGCAGCUGAUGA